GGAUUAGAUACCCUGGUAGUCCACGCAGUAAACGUUGUACACUCGGUGUAUCGGAUAUUAAAAUCUGAUGUGCCCAAGCUAACGCAUUAAGUGUACCGCCUGGGAAGUACGGUCGCAAGACUAAAACUCAAAGGAAUUGACGGGGGCCCGCACAAGCGGUGGAGCAUGUGGUUUAAUUCGACAACGCGCAGAACCUUACCUGGGUUUGACAUCCUGUGAAAUUCCCGUAAUUGGGAGUGUGCCUUCGGGAGCACAGAGACAGGUGCUGCAUGGCUGUCGUCAGCUCGUGUUG
rnacentral:rRNA from 1 species